rnacentral:sRNA from 10 species
GGAUGAGAGGGUGAUCUGACAGGGACAGCUGUCAUCAGUCAUCCUGUUGACCUUCGAGGUUAAUUCACCUGAUCUGGCUGGCUGACUGAGGGUCAUCUUCAUCCGCCCUCACUACCCCAUGGGCAUGCCUUUUGAAACUCUUUGAAUGAUAAUAAAAGUAAGGAGAAGACAGACCUUCUUUUACCAGGAAUGGCUGUCCAUUCUUUCAAAAAGUGUUUAUUGAGCUUCUUUUAUAUAUCAAACAUUGUCUAGGAUAUGCUGGAAAACAAGACAGAUCAGACUCCUAUGCUCAGAGUUAAGACAUACAGAAUUUUU